UUUUAUAAACGAGCAAAGGAAGUGGUUUCUUUAAGAUGGAAUCUACUCUUGGUGAAGAUGUUAUAAA
rnacentral:pre_miRNA from 1 species